GGGUAGGUUGCAUAGCGGCAAAUGCAGCGGUCCGUAAAACCGUUGACUUCGGUCUCCGUUGGUUCGAGUCCAACCCUGCCCA
rnacentral:tRNA from 1 species